AGGCCCCCGCGGCUCUCCUUUCUGCUGCUUUUGUUGAAUAUUUGUGAUGUCUCCUCUUGUUUAACUAAAACAAGAAAACAGAGCAAAGCACAGUGCCCCAGGCAGAGCUGCCUCAUGUUUCUGCUCUCCACAAACUCACAUUCCUACCACCUGCCAGGCAGGCUGUUAGUUGAAACAGGACUUCCAUAAACAACCUAAUUCUUCCUGGAAACUUGGAAGCUGUUUUUGGCUUGGAUGUUUUUUGCCUAAUUACUGAGUUAUUUAUUUUGCUUUUUCUUGAAGGUUUAAAUUUCAUUUUCUUGCUGUUUUAUGUAAUGUAAAGGCAGGCGAUCAUUCUCUGCAGAGGCUGAGGAAGAUGGCAUCUGGUUUAUGUUAGUAACAUGAAUUACAGAAGAGCGCAUGUUUGAUGUAAACCAUGGCUUUGCCUUUACUGUAUGUGUCAGUGCCAGAAUCCAGCAGCCUCGGCUGCUCGGAGGGGCAGGGGAGAGGCUUGCUCUGUCUGGGUGUUUUCAAAGUGUCCUGAAUAUGAUAAAAGCUCCCAGCAGCCCUCCUGGGGACCAGUGCGUUGUUCACAAGCUGCACAGCAGAGACAUGCGAGGUAAAUAGCUGUUGAGGAAGCCUUCCAUCUAUACACAGAGUUUCUACCCGUGGUUCAGGGACUGGAAGAUAAAGAGCUGCUGGUCUUGCUGCAGUUUGUGUGCUUCUCAAAUGUUUCAGGGAAACAUUGGUGAGGGGGGGCAGAGGAGCAGAGUGUUGCCAAAGGUGCCCCAGGGCCUGGGGACCCUCCUGGUGGUCCCACCCUUCUGUAUUUGCCUGUGUUGCUUUUGCGAAGCCUCCUCAGCAGAAGGGUCCCAGAGUGACCAAACCCUUGAGAGUGUUUAGAUCAGGUUAUUCACCCAUGUUGACUUAACUGGGGUAGUUCUGCUGAUAUGAGCUUUUGGCUGAAACCCAGUGGGCAGGGGAAAUAAUCCUCCUUGGAACCCCCCCCAAACCCCCCUUCUCGGGUGAGCUCAGGUGCCAUCGCUGUGCUCUGUUCUCUGACCUCAAACCAAGAAUAACUGUUAGGUAGCUUUAAAUAGCCAUCAGUUUGCUUCUUAAUUACCUUCCCGUGGGGCAAAAGCUUUCCAAAUCCAUCUGUCUUUUUCCCGGCCCGCUCACAAACCUCUCCAGUGCCGGGUUUCGGCUGAGCUCUGCAGGACUGCUGCCAGUUUCACUGGGACUUUCUGUAAAUAAGGUGUCCAGACACGGAUACUUCAGCACUGAGUGUGCUGUAGUCAGGGAAACGGUGACAACAGCUUUCCCUUUAACUCCAGCCGCUGUCUCCUUAAAUGUCUCUCUUUGUUGUGUGCUGACCUGAAAAUGUAAAUAUUUGCUAUUCCCCUGUGCCCUGAUCCCUUCUCGCAGGCACAGCUCCCAUAUUACCCCUCUGGUUCUGCACGGCAGGGGUGCUUUUCCAGGGACACUGACCCUGGGAUCUGGGCAUGUUUGACUGCAAGCCCCGCUUCAUUGUCAUGAUUUUCCCAUGCAGUAGGAACCUCUCCACAAGGACAAAGCACAAAGCACGAUGCACAGAGUCACUUUGAAACACUGAAGGGGACCGGUUCCUACCCUGUGCAGUGGGAGAGGAGGGAGAGAGGCUUGGGGGGAACCCUCGUGCUGCUUCCUGGGGCACUGGGUUGUUGUUCAUCCUGCACAGGCAUUGACUCCUCAUCCUCUGCUGACUUAGGAGUGAUGGUGGGAGCGCAGCGGCAGGCAGGUGCCUGUCCGUUUGCAGUUUGGGCUGUCGCAGCAGGCUGCCACGCUGGCCGUGUCCAGAGCUUUCUGCAAGCAGACCUAGAUGGCACGGGCUCGUCUCAUCACCCCUGGUGGUUAUUCCACCUAAAUGAAAAAUCAGCUGCAUGCAAUCGGAGCUGCCUCUCCUCAAAGGGAUGGCUCUCAUGCUGCCCAACGUCCUCUAAGCCCUCUGUAACUGCACCUCUGAGUGCCCCCUGUGGAGCUGCAACUCCGUGCCAGCAGCAGCGUGUCACCUGAGAAAUGUCCCAGUGACCAUCCUGGUGGUUUCACACAGCGCUGGGUUUUCAGGUCGGUGUUACUGAUCUCAGCUCUGCUCAUCUUUGUCUGGUGCAAAGAAACAACUUCCUGCAGUUCCUCUCUGCUGUCUUUUUAAUGGCCGCGCUAACUUUGUCUUUUUCCUGAAUCUCCAGUAAAACUUAAAAACGCUACUGUUCACCUCCAGCAUCCCUCGGUUUAUUUGUUGCUGUGCUUCUGGUUUUGCUCUUCGAGUGCCUGCUUGGAUUUCCCUGCUUCCUGCGAAACUUGGACAACGCCGCGCUGCUCCCCGGAGCUGCCUUUGUUCUCGGUCCUCGCGCUGCGUGUCCGUGCAGCCCUGCCUUCCCUGCUGCAGGAGCUCCCUUCCUCUGCUCAGGAGCACGUGCUUUGGGUUGUGCCUGCAGGCGCUAAGCUGCUGAGCGGGGAAGGCAGCAGGACGGUCAGACCUCGUGUUGGUUUAGUCCUCUGUUGGCCCCUACAGCAUUCAAAAACUCAGUGUAAGAUGUAAGUUGAGUUAUUGGCCUUUAUUUGGGUUUGCUUGAAUGCCUCUAUUCAUAACCCCAGUGCAGUCAGAGGGCUGUGCCUUACCCACCUAUAUUAAAUUGCUGCUGGGUGCAGCACUGUCUUGAGAGAGAGCCGUUUCUUGUGUCGUGGCUGCUUGGAAAUAAUUCUCCAUUGUGUGUGCUGCUCCUGGGCUGCGUGGUGCCCGCCGUAGGUCAAGUCCCCUUCCUCUCCCUGCGGGACAGGGAGCGGUAACAAAUGCUGUGCUCAGGUGGGGAUUGCCCCAUGUUGUGUGUCCUAGGAGAGAUUUGGGGCUCAUGAAAGUUUCCUGUGGGCUCCACUGCAGCUCUGUGGGAUUUGCAGUUGCUCGGGGGAACUUCAGAAACCCCUUGUUUCACCCCUGCCCUGGGCUCUGUUCCAGGCACCCGCCGGCCGCUCCACAGCCCGACUGGGAAGUCACUGCCAGGAGAGGUUUCCUGUACCGGGUUUCUGGAGCUUUCUUCUAAAGAGGUGAAAAAACAGCAAUAAAACCCGGUGGUGUAUUCUCUGAGCAUUUUGCUCAUGGCGAUUUACAUUGCUCAGCCAACAGACUUAAUGCAGAUGAGAUUUCCAUGUCGGAUAUGGGUUUUAAUAUAUAAAUAAAUAAAUGUGUUGCCAGGUUCAGUAACAAA